CUUACAAUCGUUGGAAAGAACGAUUCUCAUCUUUUUGAAGCAGAACUGAAUGUAGACAAAAAUGAUUAUCAACUGAAUGGAGAGGAAUAUUUACCCUGGGAUGAUGAUUCAAAUGCCAAAAAUGGCACUUAUCUGUCAAACUUUAUCGUUUACUCAACACUUGAUAUGGUUGAUGAGACCAUCUGGAAUGAACCGAAAAUAUAUUUAUCAACUAUUGACAAGUAUAAAUCCUUUUCAGUCUCGGCAUACGUUACCAGCGGCCUCACCAAGUUUUUGCUCGCACACCAAAACCAAAAGAGCGAAGAGGCAAUCAAACAGUUCUUCCGAGACUGUCAUGAGCUCUAUUUAAAAAUGCUCAUGAACCCUUGCUACGAGCCUAAUUCGCCAAUUACCUCGAAGGCGUUCUACGAAGGAAUUCAGGCAAUCGCAGAUCUCCG